rnacentral:lncRNA from 1 species
CAGCUGUAAAGGCGACUAGGGUUCCUUGAUGCUUGCGGACGCAAAGGAGGGCUGCAGGGAGGAGCCACGGGCUUUAUAGGAACUGGAUUGUCGUGAUGAGAAGGAAAUCCCAGGAAAUCGUAUUGAGAAAAAGCCACCAACGAGCGGGCCCGGGCGGCAGUGAGAGGGGUGACAGGGCCCGCGUGCCAGUGAGGGGGAAAGGGAAGAGGGAGGGCGCGUGUGCGUGCCCACGGGGAGAAGGAACUGGGCCGCUGCAUGCUAGGCCAAGGCGCGCAACUUGGGCCGGUUGCGGGAGAGAGGAAGAGUGGGCCACGAGUGGGGAAAACGGGGUGGCCUUCGGGCCAGAACAGAGGGAGGGAGUGUUUUCGUUUUUCUUUUAUUUUGUUUCUUUUUAUUUCAAAGUCUUUUCAGAACAGUUUAAAAUAAAUCAGAAAACAUUUUGACUUUGAUCAAAACCACAC